GGGCCGUUAGCUCAAUUGGCAGAGCAACUGACUCUUAAUCAGUAGGUUGCGGGUUCGAUUCCCUCACGGCCUACCA
rnacentral:tRNA from 2 species